AUUGAACGCUGGCGGCAGGCUUAACACAUGCAAGUCGAGCGGGGUGAUGUAGCUUGCUACAUUACCUAGCGGCGGACGGGUGAGUAAUGCUUAGGAAUCUGCCUAUUAGUGGGGGACAACAUUCCGAAAGGAAUGCUAAUACCGCAUACGCCCUACGGGGGAAAGCAGGGGAUCUUCGGACCUCGCGAUAAUAGAUGAGCCCAAGUCAGAUUAGCUAGGUGGUGGGGUAAAGGCCUACCAAAGCGACGAUCUGUAGCGGGUCUGAGAGGAUGAUCCGCCACACUGGGACUGAGACACGGCCCAGACUCCUACGGGAGGCAGCAGUGGGGAAUAUUGGACAAUGGGCGGAAGCCUGAUCCAGCCAUGCCGCGUGUGUGAAGAAGGCCUUUUGGUUGUAAAGCACUUUAAGCGAGGAGGAGGCUACUUGGAUUAAUACUCUAGGAUAGUGGACGUUACUCGCAGAAUAAGCACCGGCUAACUCUGUGCCAGCCGCCGCCGUAA
rnacentral:rRNA from 1 species